rnacentral:rRNA from 1 species
CAGCAGCCGCGGUAAUACGAAGGUGGCUAGCGUUGUUCGGUAUCACUGGGCUUAAAGCGUGUGUAGGCGGGAAAGUAAGCGUUUUGUGAAAUCCCUCGGCUUAACCGAGGAAUCGCUUGACGAACUGCUUUUCUUGAGGCAAGUAGGGGUGCAUGGAACUCUUGGUGGAGCGGUGGAAUGCGCAGAUAUCAAGAGGAACGCCGAUGGUGAAGACAAUGCACUGGGCUUGUACUGACGCUGAGACACGAAAGCGUGGGGAGCGAACGGGAUUAGAUACCCCGGUAGUCCACGCCGUAAACGAUGCCUACUAGGUUGUGGUGGUUCUGACACCACCAGCACGGCCGAAGCAAAAGUGUUAAGUAGGCCGCCUGGGGAGUACGGUCGCAAGGCUAAAACUCAAAGGAAUUGACGGGGGCUCACACAAGCGGUGGAGCAUGUGGAUUAAUUCGAAGCAACGCGCAGAACCUUACCUGGGUUUGACAUGCUUGGAUGCUUGCCUGGAAACAGGUUAAGCUGCCCUUCGGGGUGAAACUUGCACAGGUGCUGCAUGGCUGUCGUCAGCUCGUGUCGUGAGAUGUCGGGUUAAGUCCCUUAACGAGCGAAACCCUUACCAUUAGUUGCCAGCGGGUCAUGCCGGGGACUCUAGUGGGACUGCCGGUGUCAAACCGGAGGAAGGUGGGGAUGACGUCAAGUCAUCAUGGCCUUUAUGCCCAGGGCUUCACACGUGCUACAAUGGCAUCCACAGAGCGACGCAAGACCGCGAGGUGGAGCAAAUCGCAAAAAGGUUGCUCCAGUUCGGAUUGCAGGCUGGCAAUCGCCUGCAUGAAGGUGGAAUCGCUAGUAAUCGCGUAUCAGCUACGACGCGGUGAAUGUGUUCCUGAGCCUUGUACACACCGCCCGUCAAGUCACGGGAGUUGGGAGUACCCGAAGUCAGAUUGCUAACCCAGUUUAAUGGGAAGCGUCUGCCGACGGUAAGUCCGAUGACUGGGACCAAGUCGUAACAAGGUAACCGUA